AGAGUUGGUUAGGCAACCGCCGCUUGAAAAAGGGGAGGAAAGUCCGGACUCCAUAGAGUAGGGUGAUGGCUAACGGCCAUCCAUGGUGACAUGAGGAAUAGGGCCACAGAGACGAGCGUAUUUAGUUACGGUGAAACGCGGUAACCUCCACCCGGAGCAAUCUCAAAUAGGCAGGCGUUGAGGCGACUCGCUGAGCCUGCGGGUAGAGAGCUUGAACCCAUUGGUAACAAUGGGUCUAGAGGAAUGAUUGCCCCCGAACGAAAGUUCGGUCGACAGAAUCCGGCUUAUCGACCAACUCUGCCA
rnacentral:RNase_P_RNA from 2 species